rnacentral:sRNA from 1 species
UUAACAGAGGAUGCUUCUUCUUCUUCUUCUUCUUCUUCUUCUUCUUCAA